GGUUAAGCUGAUAAGUGCAUGGGGCGGAUGCCUUGGCACUGGGAGCCGAAGAAGGACGUGAUAAGCUGCGAAAAGCUGCGGUGAGGAGCAAACAUCUUAUGACCCGCAGAUAUCCGAAUGGGGAAACCCGGCAGUGCAGACCACUGUCAUCCAUACGCCAAUACAUAACGUAUGGAAGGGAACCCGGGGAACUGAAACAUCUAAGUACCCGGAGGAAGAGAAAGAAAAAUCGAUUUCCUUAGUAGCGGCGAGCGAAAGGGAAAGAGCCCAAACCUGAAUGCUUGCAUUCAGGGGUUAGGACUGCAUAAUCGACUGCUGACGGAAGGAGAACGGCAUGGGAAGGCCGUCCAGAGAGCGUGAGAGACGCGUAUCCGAAUCCGAAGGCAGCGAGGCAGUAUCCAGAGUACCACGAGACACGAGAAACCUUGUGGGAAAGAGCGGGGACCACCCCGUAAGGCUAAAUACUACCCAGUGACCGAUAGCGCAUAGUACCGUGAGGGAAAGGUGAAAAGGACCCCGGGAGGGGAGUGAAAGAGAACCUGAAACCCUGUGUAUACAAGCUGUGGGAGGACGUUAAAGUCCGACCGCGUACUUUUUGUAGAACGGUCCGGCGAGUCACGUUUACCGGUGUGGUUAAGUACUUAAGGUACGGAGCCGAAGUGAGAGCAAGCAUGAAGAGUGCAUGUAAUCAGUAAACGUGGACCCGAAACCGGGUGAUCUACCCAUGUCCAGGCUGAAGCUGCCGUAAGAGGUAGUGGAGGGCCGAACGCACAUCCGUUGAAAAGGGUGGCGAUGAGGUGUGGGUAGGGGAGAAAUUCCAAUCGAACCCGGAGAUAGCUGGUUCUCCUCGAAAUAGCUUUAGGGCUAGCCCUGUGACAGUCACACGCAGGUAGAGCACUGAAUUUCCUAGGGGGCGUCAAAGCCUACCGAAGAAUAUCAAACUGCGAAUGGCGUGGUGAUGAUUCACAGGAGUCAGACUGCACGAGAUAAGUUGGGUGGUCAAAAGGGAAAGAGCCCAGACCCACUGCUAAGGUCCCAAAGUGCGUGUUAAGUGGAAAAGGAUGUGGGAUUUCAAAGACAGCUAGGAUGUUGGCUCAGAAGCAGCCACGCAUUCAAAGAGUGCGUAAUAGCUCACUAGCCGAGAGGUCCCGCGCCGAAAAUGUCCGGGGCUGAAACACGACACCGAAGCAUGGGAAUCAUACACAAGUAUGGUUGGUAGAGGAGCAUUGAUGACGCGGCGAAGCGGUACCGGCAAGGAGCCGUGGAGUGUCAUGAAGAGAGAAUGCCGGAAUGAGUAGCGAGAUUAAAGUGAGAAUCUUUAAGGCCGAAUAUCCAAGGUUUCCGGGGUAAAGCUGAUCUGCCCCGGGUAAGUCGGGGCCUAAGGCGAGGCGGAGACGCGUAGCCGAUGGACAACAGGUUGAGAUUCCUGUACUGCAAUGGAUCAGAACUGUGGGGACACGGGAGGUAAAGGAAAGCCGGGAAAGGAAAGCCCGGUGAAAGCCGAGGAGGCGUAUGCGAGGCAAAACCCGCAUGCAAGCCAGAGCGGUGAGAGGAGCGAAACAAAAGUAGCGAAGUUCCGGAGCCUGCCGUCAAGAAAAGCCGCUAUAGUGUCCAUUGUACCCGUACCGUAAACCGACACAGGUAGAUGAGGAGAGAAUCCUAAGGCCGGCGGGAGAAGCAUUGUCAAGGAACUCGGCAAAAUGACCCCGUAACUUCGGGAGAAGGGGUGCCACAGCAAUGUGGCCGCAGAGAAUAGGCCCAAGCAACUGUUUAGCAAAAACACAGGUCUAUGCAAAACCGAAAGGUGAAGUAUAUGGGCUGACGCCUGCCCGGUGCUGGAAGGUUAAGGGGAGAUGUCAGGAAACGAAGCAUCGAACUUAAGCCCCAGUAAACGGCGGCCGUAACUAUAACGGUCCUAAGGUAGCGAAAUUCCUUGUCGGGUAAGUUCCGACCCGCACGAAAGGCGUAAUGAUUUGGGCGCUGUCUCGACAAUGCACCCGGUGAAAUUGAAGUGCCAGUGAAGAUGCUGGCUACCCGCGCCAGGACGGAAAGACCCCAUGGAGCUUUACUCUAGUUUGGCACUGGGAUCUGGCAUUGCACGUACAGGAUAGGUGGGAGGCUGAGAAAUGAUGACGCCAGUUGUCAUGGAGCCGGCGUUGGGAUACCACCCCUGCAUUGCUAGGUUUCUAACCAGCCGCCGUGAUCCGGCGGUGGGACAAUGCCAGGCGGGGAGUUUGACUGGGGCGGUCGCCUCCGAAAGGGUAUCGGAGGCGCUCAAAGGUUCACUCAGAAUGGACGGAAACCAUUCGCAGAGCGCAAAGGCAGAAGUGAGCUUGACUGUGACACCGACGGGUGGAACAGGUACGAAAGUAGGACUUAGUGAUCCGGUGGCAUAAAGUGGGAUUGCCAUCGCUCAACGGAUAAAAGCUACCCUGGGGAUAACAGGCUUAUCACUCCCAAGAGUUCACAUCGACGGAGUGGUUUGGCACCUCGAUGUCGGCUCAUCGCAUCCUGGGGCUGGAGUAGGUCCCAAGGGUUGGGCUGUUCGCCCAUUAAAGCGGUACGCGAGCUGGGUUCAGAACGUCGUGAGACAGUUCGGUCCCUAUCCGGCGCGGGCGCAGGAUAUCUGAGAGGAGCCGUCCUUAGUACGAGAGGACCGGGACGGACUGACCUCUGGUGUACCGGCUGGCAUGCCAAUGCCACGGCCGGGUAGCCAAGUCGGGCAGGGAUAAACGCUGAAGGCAUCUAAGCGUGAAGCCCCCCUCAAGAUGGGAUAUCCCACUGAGUAAUCAGGUAAGACCCCUUGAAGACGACAAGGUUGAUAGGCUGGAGAUGUAAGUACAGCAAUGUAUUCAGUUGACCAGUACUAAUAGGUCGAGGGCUUAACCGA
rnacentral:rRNA from 1 species